AUUACUGCAUUAUGCUGCUUUUAAGACUUUAGGAUAUAGACCAAGGAGUGGGAUAAAUAGGUCAAAUGGUGGUUCCAUUUCAAAUUUUCUAAGGAAUCUCCAUACUACUGUCCAGAUUGGUUGCCCCAAUUUGCAGUCCCACCAGCAAUGUAUGAGUGUGCCUUUUCCCAAAAUUCUUGCCAACACUUAUUGUUGCUAAAGAAAAUUUAAUUCUUUCCUUUUUUAAAAGUGAUAUCUGUUUCUUUUUAAGCAGGUAAAUGAUUAAGGUUAUCAUGAAAGGAACAUUUGAUUCCAAAACGAAGAAAGAAACUAUAAAUGACUGCCUAAAUUCAUGAAAGAUUUAGGAGCAAAUCCAGCCAGAAUAUUCAUCUUCCUCUUCUUCCUAUUUUGGAGUUUUUCACCAAAGGCCGUAUUCUUUCUCUCUUCAGUGAUAAUUUAUAUUUUCAUUAAUAUGUGCCAUUUUGUUCCUUCUCACAUUCUUAUCUUUAGGGUAUGAAAGGCAUGAGUUUCUCUAUGUAGGAAAAAUUUCUGGCAUAUUUACAAGUCUGUCAGCACAAAAGAUUGUUUUAUUAUAUCUGUCUUGAAGAAAAUAUUAGUGAUCUUGUAAUAUUUGUUUGCUUUUCAGUUUGGACAAUUCUUUUGUCAGUUCUCCCUCUUCUCCAUACUGAAAUAUAUUCUCUCUUUAAUACCAAACAAUCAGAAAAGGAGACCAUCUUCUUAACAGGUCUGGAACAAGGGUAACAUGAGUGAGGCAUUUGUCUCAUGCACAAAAUUUGAGGUACCAAAACGCUCAAUAACAUGACAAAUAAAAUUCUAAAAACAAAAUGAAUACAAUAAUGAACCGAAUUAUCAUGAUUUUAAACCAAGACAGAAUCCAACCUUUCACUUGCAUGACCCAGCCUCUCUUGAUUCACCUUCUUCCUAAUAGGACACUUAGGUCUAGUCUUGCUCACUCUUCAGGCUUUGGCAGUUUCAAAUGAAUGGAGAUUUGAAGGGUUUUUAUAAGCUUAUCCUCAUUCCAUCUUUAUAAUUGUUAAAGGAUGAUAUUAAGGGAACCUAAACACAAGGCUCUGAAUAUAUUUUCAAAGUCCUUGAUGUAGAAAGGACAAGUAAUGUAUUAAAUGCUGAAGAAAAGAAUUAACAGUUAAGGACAAAUGAAACCUGCCUUUCUAAAGUGUACACAUUCAACAGAACUCAGCUGACAGGGAACACUGGCAUUUCCCUGCAACUGGAAAGCUCACUGACUGAAAGAACAGAACAUGAAUAUGGAUUCAGAAAACUUCCAACGGGUAUUUAUUAUCAAGCUAAAGAUUUAACAUAAUCAUAUGGAUAUUAUUAAUCAGAGGGCCUGUGUCAAAAUAUGGUAUUGUUAAUGUGAAAGGAAAUAAAAUAAUUCAUGACAGCAGAAAUUGGAG
rnacentral:lncRNA from 1 species